rnacentral:rRNA from 1 species
GACGAACGCUGGCGGCGUGCUUAACACAUGCAAGUCGAACGGAAAGGCCCUGCUUUUGUGGGGUGCUCGAGUGGCGAACGGGUGAGUAACACGUGAGUAACCUGCCCUUGACUUUGGGAUAACUUCAGGAAACUGGGGCUAAUACCGGAUAGGAGCUCCUGCUGCAUGGUGGGGGUUGGAAAGUUUCGGCUGUUGGGGAUGGACUCGCGGCGUAUCAGCUUGUUGGUGGGGUAGUGUCUUACCAAGGCUUUGACGGGUAGCCGGCCUGAGAGGGUGACCGGCCACAUUGGGACUGAGAUACGGCCCAGACUCCUACGGGAGGCAGCAGUGGGGAAUAUUGCACAAUGGGCGGAAGCCUGAUGCAGCAACGCCGCGUGCGGGAUGACGGCCUUCGGGUUGUAAACCGCUUUCGCCUGUGACGAAGCGUGAGUGACGGUAAUGGGUAAAGAAGCACCGGCUAACUACGUG